CAGGGGAGAAGAAGAACACGAGCUCCAAUCCAGUUUAUACCCUGAAGAUGUCUUUGAAGUUCUUAGAUCAUCGUCUUUUCAAUUAGGGAUCAAAUUAAAAGCUAUUAUCCAGGAAACCCUGACUUAUCUUCAAUAUUGAUCGGCUCCUCUCCUUUAUCGCGCGCGAUUAGAAAGGAAGUUCAGUGAAGAACAGCAAUGAGCUCUGUACGUGGACAUGGUUACAAGUGUCGUCGAGCCAUAACCAGACUGAAACCUGUGAUGAAUGUCGUGUGCAACAACAACAUGAUACGAAAACAAAAAAGGAAGAACAAAAGAAGUAGAGGUGCUGGUGGCAACAUUAGUUUGUCGAAUAGUGCUAGUACGUUUCAUGAUGAUAGUGCCAUUGUAUGCGAGAUACUAAGCAGGCUACCAGUGAGUCACUUGUUCGAUUCAAAUGCGUAUGUAAACGUUGGCGGUCACUCAUCGAGGAAGACCCGAACUUUAUACAUUUACACCUUAACCAAUCAAUAAAGCGGCCGAAACUCUUUUUCAUCAACCCAAUACCACAUGAGUACCCAGAAUCAUGGCUGCGGAGACUUACAGUCCCACGCAAUCCAGGUUAUUAUAAAGUGGAUCUAGUGACAGUUGACUUAAUGAUUGAAGGUAGAGGAGGGGCAGCACCCACAG